UAUUAUAAUUAAGAGAGGCACAAAUAGGAGAGGAAAAGAAAGAGAGGGAGAGAGAGUGAGAGACACAGGGUUUAGCUAACCUGUUUUCUUUCCCUUCCUCUCUCGACCAUUUCCCGCUUUCAUCAUCCCAACAAAUCUUUUGUCCUUCCUUUCCAUUUCUCUAGGAUCAGUAUAGCUGUUGGAAUUUCCAACAUGGAACACCGAAAUUAAGCAAGGAAGGAAGAUCCCCUGUUGUUGUUUAUGCAUUUUCGGCAACAUGGAUGCCCACCGAACUCUUCUGUUCUUCCCUUCAAAUUAUGAAGGGGGAGCUUUUGGAUUAUGAUUCAUAUGGAUGGAAAAGUAGCAUAUCAAGUCUAAAGAGAGAAAGUCAGAGGUUACGAGAAAAGGAGAAAAAUAGCAAAAGGCGAUGAGAUUAGUAUCAUGUUAUGGAGAGAUAACAUCAAAGUUUAACAUAUAUGGUUUAAUAUUUUGGAAUUCUUUGAAAUAUUAUGAGAUUGUGGAUUAAUUUGAUAGUGAUAUGGAGAUUUUAGAAUUGCAUACAUCCAUGUUGAAAUCAAUUAUCUAUUUUAUUCAA